rnacentral:snoRNA from 1 species
AUCGUUGAUGAUGAUGAGAUGGUAACCUACAUUCUGCAAGGACUUGACAUUGAUUACAACCCGCUUAUUUCAUCUGUGCUUGGACGUACUGAUCCAAUUCCCUUGGACGAGUUGUAUUCUCAACUCAUGGCAUAUGAUA